rnacentral:rRNA from 1 species
CACGUAGGGGCCAAGCGUUGUCCGGAUUUAUUGGGCGUAAAGAGCUCGUAGGCGGUUGGGUAAGUCGGGUGUGAAAACUCUGGGCUCAACUCAGAGACGCCACCCGAUACUGCUCUGACUUGAGUCCGGUAGGGGAGUGGGGAAUUCCUGGUGUAGCGGUGAAAUGCGUAGAUAUCAGGAGGAACACCGGUGGCGAAGGCGGUUCUCUGGGCAUGUUCUGACGCUGAGGAGCGAAAGUGUGGGGAGCGAACAGG